rnacentral:rRNA from 1 species
GACGAACGCUGGCGGCGUGCUUAACACAUGCAAGUCACGGGGGCCCGGUGGCAACAUCGGGCAACCGGCGAACGGGUGCGUAACACGUGAGCAAGCUUCCGAUCUGUGGGGGGAUAGCCGGCCCAACGGCCGGGUAAUACCGCAUACGUUCACUGGACGGCAUCGUCUGGUGAGGAAACCUCCGGGGCAGAUCGAGGCGCUCGCGGCCUAUCAGCUAGUUGGCGGGGUAACGGCCCACCAAGGCUUGACGGGUAGCUGGUCUGAGAGGAUGGCCAGCCACAUUGGGACUGCGACACGGCCCAGACUCCUACGGGAGGCAGCAGUGGGGAAUAUUGCGCAAUGGACGAAAGUCUGACGCAGCGACGCCGCGUGUGGGAUGAAGCCUUUCGGGUGUAAACACUGUUGCCCGGGACGAAACUCCUUUUCGUAGAGAUUGACGGUACCGGUGGAGGAGCACCGGCUAACUCUGUGCCAGCAGCCGACGGU